rnacentral:tRNA from 1 species
AGGGUUGUAACUCAGUGGCAGAGCACCUGCUUUGCAUGCAGAAGGUCUUAGGUUCAAUCCUCAGCAUCUCCA